AUGAACCUGCUGCUGAUUUUCCUCUUCCUGCUGGAGGCGCCUUCAGGGGUCCUCUCCCAAGUGACGCUGAAGGAAACGGGCCCGGGAGCGGCGAAGCCCGGGGAGUCCCUGACCGUCACUUGCACCAUCUCGGGAGACUCAGUUUCCAACACCGGAGUUGCCUGGGACUGGGCUCGGCAGCCCGCAGGGAAAGGGCUGGAAUGGGCGGGGCGCAUUUACUACAGAUCUACUGGAUGGCACACUCAGUACCCCAGCGCGCUGCAGGGCCGAGUGACCAUCUCACCGGACACCUCCAGGAACCAGGUCUCGCUGCAGCUGCGCUCGCUGACAGCUGCGGACACCGCCACCUAUUACUGCACCAGAGACACAGUGACACAGCGAACACAGAGACUGGUACAAAAAGGGGAAGCGGCUUUUCAACAGUGGAGAGCAUAA